UUUUCUCCAGAGUGGAUACGAGUAUGAGUCUUGAGAUUGGCUGGCCGGUUAAACUGAGCUCCGCAGAUGUUGCAGUGGUACGGCUUUGCACCUGGAGGUUAAGAAAAGCAGCUGGAGGUGGAAUAAUCCGAGUGUAGCUUGGUGGAGUCAUCUUUGCUGUAUGAGUCAGGAGACAGGUGACCUGCUUCCAUACACUGAGGACUGUCGCAGCCACAUGUGGAGCAUCUGUUGUUGCUGCAACGAGGAAGACGAGCACCAAAGAAAUUCAGACAGCCCUUGGAUGUAAGAGGAGCCGAGGAUUGAUGACUACUUGUAUUUACAACGUGGAAGCCGAGUCCUGCUGGCACCAUCGCAUCUCCACGCACGCUCACAGGUUUCCAUUAAUCUCACCUCAAAGUGUGCCGUUGGCUUUGUUUGGCACAAAGGAUAUUUGGAGUAUUAGUUUAUACAAGUUCCAUCUCUGACCUGUUGCUGCAUGGCGUGCUGCGUGUGUGUGGUCUCAUAAUGUGAUAUCUCCACCAACUCUGCAAAACCAGCAGGACAGACUGCCGGCGCAGCAGCAACCACUUUGAUUUUCCACAGAAGAGUGAUUCACUCUCGAAUGAACACUUAGUGACCCAGAGCUUAAAGGCCAAGAUUAGCCCUGGCAACCGAGGCCCUCUGGGGUCCAUAAUCGAUGUUUACACCCUGCUGUUUACCUGAGCUCGCUCCCGUCCAUCCAGUCCAAGUCACAAGAGGUAUGAAGCAAUCAGAAUCAAAAAUGUGGAGGAUCAGAGAAGCACAUAAUAAAAACCGCUUAAAGGAAUAUCUCAACAUUUAGGCGGAGCAGGGAAUAUAUACUUAUUUUCUUAAAUAGCUAAAGCUGGACAGAAGAUUUUAAUGGGUACCACCAGGUGUUAGCAACCAUAAUAGCCAUUUAAAUUGGAAUAUCUAAGUAGUUUAAUGAAUCAACUCCCUUAAGACAUAUAUUUAUCAUAUUUUUAGAGUCAGAUAGUUAAAUUACUCAUUUGAUUAGUGUUAAAAAAUAUCCCAAGAAUUGGGGGAGCCUGUCUAAACAAGAGAAAAAGUAGAUGUUCAGCUGUCAUUUUGUACUGUUAUUGAUAUUUGAGCAUUCAUAAAGUUUUUAAUUGGGGAUCAGAUUUUAUGGUGUGCACUGUGAUUUGUGUCAAAAGUUCAGAUACAUUUUGAGCAGCUUUAGACCAAAGUAACAGCAUGUGUACUCUCAAGCCAUUAUCUUCAUGUACUUUUCUUUGUGUCCUGCGAGUGACACUCACAUGUUCCUUGUAAAUUGAAUCAGACGGGAACACCGCGUACACACUGUAUCAGCUUGGAUCUGGGUGCUGCGAGCUUCUCGGGACUGCUUUAGAACAAAACCUGUGCCGCACUUAGGAAUAAUGUUACAAAGUGAGAAAUUACAAUCUACAAACACAGUAAUAAUGAGAGUAAGGAGCACAUGCUACAAAAACACACAAAAAUAAUCCUGUUUUAGAGGACUACUAAAAGUUGAGAUGUGUUUGUAGCUGCUAUGAUUUGUGACUCUUAAAGUGCCUGGAGUCAAGUAUUCAUCAGUGGUUUAAGAAAACGUAAAUGGAAACCUUAAACGGAUCGUUUAACUUGUUGGUUUAAGCUUUCGACUCUUUUUUUUAGAAAAAAAUAACCAUAUACUGUAUAGAAGAGAUGGAAGUUGCCACUGUGAUGUCACCGAGUUGCCCAUGGAUAGCAAGUUGGCACUGGAGAGUAAUCUCCUGUUGCUAUCACUACAUACUGCAUGUUACUUUUUUCUUUGAUUAACAUGGUCCAUCAUAUUAAAUUGAUGCAAGUUCUGUGAGCAAUAUUUCCUUAUGUUACAUCGUAAUUUUUAAUCCAUAUUUUUGAAAUUGAUUAAUCUUGACCUUUACAUCUUUAAUUUUUUUUUACAUAUUCACUAUUGAGAUGUGCAUGACAGACAUGACAGGGUCUUCUAUUACUCAGCUGUCCUUUUACCAAUAUAAAUGGCCUACUUGUCCCCAAGGACCCCAAAGCACUUUACACAUCCAGUCAUCCACUUUCAUACACUGGUGAUGGCAAGCUACAGUGUAGCCACAGCCACCCUGGGUCGCACUGACAGAGGCGAGGCUGCCGGGCCCUCUGACCACCACCAGUAGGCAACAGGUGAAGUGCUUUGCCCAAGAACACAACGAGCGAGACUGUCCAAGCCGGGGCUCGAACUAGCAACCUUCCGAUUACAAGGCAAACUCCCAACUCUUGAGCCACAAGCCACGAUAUAAGGACUGUUCUGUGUGUAGUGUCACUGUUACAGACGUCACACAGUUUUCCACAUAACAACUUCACACAUACUGACAUGAAGAAGUGAUCUUUAGACAU